rnacentral:rRNA from 1 species
GACGAACGCUGGCGGCGUGCUUAACACAUGCAAGUCGAGCGGUAAGGCCCUUUCGGGGGUACACGAGCGGCGAACGGGUGAGCAACACGUGGGUGACCUGCCCUCAGCUCUGGGAUAAGCCUGGGAAACCGGGUCUAAUACUGGAUAUGACUCCAUGACGCAUGUUGUGGGGUGGAAAGCCUUGUGCGGCUGAGGAUGGGCCCGCGGCCUAUCAGCUUGUUGGUGGGGUGAUGGCCUACCAAGGCGACGACGGGUAGCCGGCCUGAGAGGGCGACCGGCCACACUGGGACUGAGACACGGCCCAGACUCCUACGGGAGGCAGCAGUCGAGAGGCUUCGGCAAUGGGGGAAACCCUGACCGAGCGACGCCGCGUGGAGGAUGAAGGCCUUUGGGUUGUAAACUCCUGUCAUGUGGGAAGAAACGCCACCGUUCUAAUAGGACGGUGGUUUGACGGUACCACAAGAGG